rnacentral:rRNA from 1 species
UCCAGUGCGGCAUGCCUACACAUGCAGUCGAACGCCCUCUUCGGAGGGAGUGGCGCACGGGUGCGUAACGCGUGGGAACCUGCCCUUAGGUUCGGAAUAACUCAGAGAAAUUUGAGCUAAUACCGGAUAAUGUCUUCGGACCAAAGAUUUAUCGCCUUUGGAUGGGCCCGCGUUGGAUUAGAUAGUUGGUGGGGUAAUGGCCUACCAAGUCGACGAUCCAUAGCUGGUCUGAGAGGAUGAUCAGCCACACUGGGACUGAGACACGGCCCAGACUCCUACGGGAGGCAGCAGUGGGGAAUAUUGGACAAUGGGGGAAACCCUGAUCCAGCAAUGCCGCGUGAGUGAUGAAGGCCUUAGGGUUGUAAAGCUCUUUUACCAGGGAUGAUAAUGACAGUACCUGGAGAAUAAGCUCCGGCUAACUCCGUGCCAGCAGCCGCGGUAAU